rnacentral:ncRNA from 1 species
UAGGAACCGUGAGAUUAAGCCAUCGCGGCAGGUGCUCACGUUAAGCCCACUGACUUUCAUGUCCCUAUCUACUAUCUAGCGAAACCACAGCCAAGGGAACGGGCUUGGAAUAAUUAGCGGGGAAAGAAGACCCUUUUGAGCUUGACUCUAAUCUGGCAGUGUAAGGAGACAUAAGAGGUGUAGAAUAAGUGGGAGAUAUUAGACUUCGGUUUGGUAUCGACAAUGAAAUACCACUACUCUUAUUGUUUCCUUACUUACUUGAUUAAAUGGAACGUGUAUCAUUUCC